ACUGCGAAUGGCUCAUUAAAUCAGUUAUCGUUUAUUUGAUAGUACCUUACUACUUGGAUAACCGUGGUAAUUCUAGAGCUAAUACAUGCUAAAAACCCCAACUUCGGGAGGGGUGUAUUUAUUAGAUAAAAAACCAAUGCCCUUGGGGGCUCCUUGGUGAUUCAUGAUAACUUAACGAAUCGCAUGGCCUUGCGCCGGCGAUGGUUCAUUCAAAUUUCUGCCCUAUCAACUUUCGAUGGUAGGAUAGUGGCCUACCAUGGUUUCAACGGGUAACGGGGAAUUAGGGUUCUAUUCCGGAGAGGGAGCCUGAGAAACGGCUACCACAUCCAAGGAAGGCAGCAGGCGCGCAAAUUACCCAAUCCCGACACGGGGAGGUAGUGACAAUAAAUACUGAUACAGGGCUCUUUUGGGUCUUGUAAUUGGAAUGAGUACAAUUUAAAUCCCUUAACGAGGAACAAUUGGAGGGCAAGUCUGGUGCCAGCAGCCGCGGUAAUUCCAGCUCCAAUAGCGUAUAUUAAAGUUGUUGCAGUUAAAAAGCUCGUAGUUGAACCUUGGGCUUGGUUGUCCGGUCCGCCUCACCGCGUGCACUGGUGCGACCGAGCCUUUCCUUCUGGGAAGCCGCAUGCCCUUCACUGGGUGUGUCGGGGAACCAGGACUUUUACUUUGAAAAAAUUAGAGUGUUCAAAGCAGGCCUAUGCUCGAAUACAUUAGCAUGGAAUAAUAGAAUAGGACGUGUGGUUCUAUUUUGUUGGUUUCUAGGACCGCCGUAAUGAUUAAUAGGGAUAGUCGGGGGCAUCAGUAUUCAAUUGUCAGAGGUGAAAUUCUUGGAUUUAUUGAAGACUAACUACUGCGAAAGCAUUUGCCAAGGAUGUUUUCAUUAAUCAGUGAACGAAAGUUAGGGGAUCGAAGACGAUCAGAUACCGUCGUAGUCUUAACCAUAAACUAUGCCGACUAGGGAUCGGGCGAUGUUAUCAUUUUGACUCGCUCGGCUACCUUACGAGAAAUC
rnacentral:rRNA from 1 species